AUUGAACGCUGGCGGCAUGCCUUACACAUGCAAGUCGAACGGCAGCACGGGAGCAAUCCUGGUGGCGAGUGGCGAACGGGUGAGUAAUACAUCGGAAUGUACCCAGUAAUGGGGGAUAACGCUUCGAAAGGAGUGCUAAUACCGCAUACGCCCUGAGGGGGAAAGUGGGGGACCGCAAGGCCUCACGUUAUUGGAGCAGCCGAUGGCUGAUUAGCUAGUUGGUGAGGUAAAGGCUCACCAAGGCGACGAUCAGUAGCGGGUCUUAGAGGACGACCAGCCACACUGGAACUGAGACACGGUCCAGACUCCUACGGGAGGCAGCAGUGGGGAAUUUUGGACAAUGGACGCAAGUCUGAUCCAGCCAUUCCGCGUGCAGGAUGAAGGCCCUCGGGUUGUAAACUGCUUUUGUACGGACGAAAGGUUUCUAUUAAUACUAGGAGCUCAUGACGGUACCGUAAGAAUAAGCACCGGCUAACUACGUGCCAGCAGCCGCGG
rnacentral:rRNA from 1 species